rnacentral:lncRNA from 10 species
CUGCUGAGAACCACAGAAGAUAACGAAUUAUUCUCACAACCACCACCUUCUCAUGUCUUCCAACUCUUAUCCUGGAGGAAUUCUGCCAUGCCUUCCCCAAUCCCUGAAAGUCUCUGAUGGGGGAAAAGCUCUUCAUGCAAUCCUGUGAAGGAAAACUCAAGAUUUUCAGUGCCCUUCACAAAGGAGAAAUGACAGGAGAGGGUAACAUCAGUGAAUGGGUGGGCCCGCAGCUCCUCUGUAGACACCGAGAAUGUCAAAGAAGAAAUGAAGUUAAUAAAGACCAAUCAGCACUGCAUCAGGCUCAACAACACUGCAGUACUGGUCUUCUGGAAGAACAGUUGCCUCUGCCUUAUCAAGAAGCUGGUGAUGCAGGAAGUCAUCACCACGGGUGUUGCUUCCAUAGCCAAUCUGCACCUGCUAGAUUGCACUGGCCAAUGAAAGAAUGCGUCAUGCACUAUAACCUUUCUCCCCACUUCAAUCAGUUGCCAUUUAAUUCUUGAGAAAAUAUAUCUGAUUGGCAGACUCUAAGUCAUUCCCAGAACCCUAACUGCAAAGGAAUCUUGGAAAUAUGUUUUACUCUCCAGUUUCAGCAAUCCAGGAAUGCACAUCAGAAAGGCGGGAAAAGAUGUUCAGUAAAUUGUCUUCCCUAAUGUAGGUGCCCUCAUCUAAUCAGUUGAAGUUCUAAAUAGAACAAAAAAGCCAACCUUCCUUCAAGUAAGAGGGAACUCCUGCUUUUACUGCUUGAGCAGUCUUUUCCUGCCUUCAGACUCAGACUAGAACUAUACCAUAGACUGUUCUGCACCUCCAGCUCGCUGACUGCAGAUCUUGGGACUUCUCAACCUCCACAAGCACAGCUGCAUGACCCAAUUUCUUCAAAAAAAAAAUCAGGCUCUCUCUCCCUCUCUCUCUACCCCCCCGCCAACCCCCUCUCUCUCUCUUUUCCAGUUUGUUCUGUUUCUCUGGAGAACUCUGACCAUAUCUGGUAACAUUUAUCAAGUAUUUACAAUGUUCUAAACAUAUUCUAGGAGCUUUUCUGGCAUUAAUUCAUUUAAUCUGAUACUAACACUGAGGCAGGUAAUUAUCCCCAAUUUACUACUGAGAAAACCAAGGCACAGUGGGUGAAGUAAGUUACUCAAGGAUACACAGCUAGUGAGCAGUAGAGCUGUCAUUCAAUGCUAGGCAGUCUGACUCCAAAGCUCUCCAACUGAAAUGUGCUCUUUUGUCUCCUAAUAGUAGGCACUGGUUCGAAGUUUGAUGAAUGAAUCAGUGACUAAUUAAAUGAAUUAAUGACUACAAGACAGGCUGGAAAGGAGGCAAAGAGAAAUAACUUGCAUAACCUUUAGAAGGAUUGAUUUGCAAGUAAAAACCUGAAGUGCUUUCUUGCUCAAAUUAUUUUUCUGAAGUGGUUAUCACCAAAAAGCAGUGUUUUAUAAUUUUUGUGGGACUUUAUUUUUGUAAAAUCCUGGUCUGACGAAUUGUAAAUCCAAGUUCUAGUUCUAAGUACCCCCUUACUAAUCAUUUGGCAUCAGGAAAGGCACUUAAUCUCUCUGAGUUAUAGCUUCCUUGUGUAUAAUUAGAAUUAUAACACCUGUCCGAGGUUUUAAUGAAAUACCAUGGGAUCUUACAGACUGUUUUUAUAUGACAUGGCUCGGUCAUUUUCCAGAAGGACAGGAGUAAAGUAGAUGAGUGGACACUUUAGUAAGCUGUUCCCCCACCCCAAUGUCUCUCACAAGAAUAUGUAGUUUACCCAUGAGUGGUCCUUGAUUCUACCUUCUCCAGUUGUACUCAGGAGUUCUUGCUACAGUUGUACCCUUUCUGGCCCAAGGGAAGGGGUCUCAAACUCAGGGAUCCAAAGGCUCUAGCCAAUGCAUCAUGAAACACAACUUCCUGCUGAUGUAACUAGUAUAAAGGACAAUUUCUAACUGAUAUGUCUGCAGAUGGCCCUGCUUGAAUCUGAGUAACUCCUUUGUCUAUUUCAAUCUGUGUUAUUUCUAAACCAUGUGUCUUUAGCUUCCCAAGCCUUAAGAGGCCGAGGCAAAAGCUCAGAAAAAGGUUAAUAAUGUGGGAAAACACUUAGAAAAAUGUAGAAAGAUACUGUCUAACGCAUCUGCCAUGGUACCUAGCACAUAGUAUUAAGUUCUUAAUAUUGCUACAAAAUGUGAGAUUAGAAUCAACAGAUCAUUCUCUUUCUUGCCUACAUACAUACCUAUUCCUUUAUUUGGUUGAGUUUUUCCUAACUAUGAGUGGAUUACCACCUUACUUUUCUUACUGCUCUCCUCUACCCGCACACACACACACACCCCCCAACACCCAGCCCCCCCGCCCUCCUCCCCACCACACACACACACACACACACACACACACACACACAGAAUAAUCAAACAUCAAGAGAAAAGAGCCAGCAAAUGUAACCUGGGUUGACCAGGCCUUGUACUAACUCCUGAGUUGAACUCUGGAGCCUGAGGAUGCCUUCAAGCUGCUGCCACCUUUAAGGGACUGACAGAACUGCUGCAGGUCUCUGGAAGAUGGCAUAAGCCUGAAGACUAUAAAUGUGUUUGAUCACUUUAUGGAGUAGUUAUACAGCCAGAUUUGGGAUACACAGUGUUUUUUUAAAAAACUUUUGCUUAUGGACUUUUGGUUAGCUGAAUCAUAUUAACAUUUCCAACAUCUGUAUAUUGUUUGUCACCAAGAGAGUUGAAGAUUUGAGUACAAAAAGACUUACAUAAACCCUUUGUUGACUGCCCAUCCAGAUUUUUCAGGACAGACCUGAUUUCAAAUAUUUUGGAUGCUACACUAUAAAUUGGCACUUGUCAGAGUCACUUGAAAGUGGGUGUCUAGUAUUGUUUUGUUUGGUUUGGUUGGGAGGUUCACACUAUAGAUACGACUGAGAUUAGUCAUUCAGAUAUGGCUUCAAAUGGACAAACCAAAUUGGGGGGGGUGGGGUGGAAGUUUUUCUCAUUUAAAAAAAGAAAGCAGAAUAAACAAUAAUGAUUUAUAAUAUGUGUCUGUUAUUUUCUCCCAUCUGCUCUUAACCAUUUCCUAUGAAGUAAAUAUAGAUUUUUAAAAUAAAUACAAUUUUUCCUGUAAAAAAUAAAUUUGUUAUUUUCAUAUAACAAAUGAAAAGAAUGAGAUUCAGAGAGAUUAUGUCGUUUAUCUCCAAACAAAUGUUUUCCUCACUAUCCCCAAAGCUAUUUCAUAAAUGCCCACAAAGUUUUUUGAAAAAUGACUCACCUGCACUGUGAAGAAGUAUGUUAACAGUCACCA